rnacentral:rRNA from 1 species
UACGUAGGUGGCAAGCGUUGUCCGGAUUUACUGGCGUAAAGGGCGUGCAGGCGGUUUGUUAAGUUCAGGGUGAAAGCUCCCGGCUCAACUGGGAGAGGUCCUUGGAUACUGGCAGACUUGAGGAGGGUAGAGGAGAGUGGAAUUCCCGGUGUAGUGGUGAUAUGCGUAGAUAUCGGGAGGAACACCAGUGGCGAAGGCGGCUCACUGGCCGGAACUGACGCUGACGACGCGAAGCGUGGGAGCAAACAGG